GCGCCUUUAGUUCAGUCCGGUAGAACGCGGGUCUCCAAAACCCGAUGUCGUAGGUUCAAAUCCUGCAGGGCGUG
rnacentral:tRNA from 9 species